UACCUGCAGCUCAAGUGGUGGCCGCUAUUAUUGGGCCUAAAACGUCCGUAGCCGGUUUCAUAAAUGCCUGGGUAAAUCGUACGGCUUAACCGUAUGAAUUCCGGGUAGACUGUUUAACUUGAGACCGGGAGAGGCUAGAGGUACUCCUGGGGUAGAGGUGAAAUUCUGUAAUCCUAGGGGGACCACCAGUGGCGAAGGCGUCUAGCUAGAACGGGUCUGACGGUGAGGGACGAAGCCCUGGGGAGCAAACGGG
rnacentral:rRNA from 1 species